rnacentral:lncRNA from 1 species
GAAAUAUUAGAAUGAUUACAAAUAUAUCUCAAAUACAUCUCAAUUCAAUCUUAAUUUAAUUAUAGUUUAAAUCUUAUUGGACUUCAUUCAAACUUAAGGCCAAAAACUAACUAAAUCUUAAAUCCUAAAUAAAUUCAAAAUCCUAAAUUCUAAAUCAAAUCCUGAUCAAAUCCUAACCAAACUUUAAAUCCUAUCCUAAACUCUAAAUAAAAUCCUAACCAAACUUUAAAUCCUAAAUCAAACCCUAAUCCUAAAUCAAAUCUUAACCAAAUCCUAAAUCCUAAAGCAAAUCCUAAUCCUAAAUCAAAUCUUAACCAAAUUCUAACCCUAAUCUUAAAUCCUAAACCAAAUCCUAAUCAAAUCCUAACCUUAAAUCAAAUCCUAACCAAAUACUAAUCCUAAA